GUGUGCAUACAAACAGUCGGAGCCUCUUCAUGGGGUGACGGCGUACCUUUUGUAUAAUGGGUCAGCGACUUACGUUCAGUGGCGAGCUUAACCGAAUAGGGAAGGCGCAGGGAAACCGAGUCCGAAUAGGGCGAAAUUCAGUCGCUGGGCGUAGACCCGAAACCAGGUGAUCUACCCAUGGCCAGGAUGAAGGUGAGGUAACACU
rnacentral:rRNA from 14 species